GCCUGGGUGGCUCAGUCGGUUGAGCAUCUGACUUCAGUUCAGGUCAUGAUCUCAUGGUACAUGGAUUUGAACCCCAGAUCAGGCU
rnacentral:tRNA from 1 species